AUAUGUGUAGCUGAAGUUGUAUAAUGGUAUGCAGCUGUCAGAAAGGAAAAUAAACCGUUGAUUUGAAGUAUCGGUAAGUGCAUGUCUAAGCAAGAUCCGUUCUGCCUCAAUCAUGCUUGCCUCACCCCAGUCUACCUGUAUACUAUCAUUAACUUGACGAUUCAAAAAAUAGAUCGAUCUUGUCGUCGCCUUGUUAAAUAAAAAUCCUGGCCUCGAGUGAACAAAGAUCGAAAACUUAUUCUCCCCUUCCUGAAAAA
rnacentral:misc_RNA from 1 species